rnacentral:rRNA from 1 species
AUAAAAAUAAAAUCUCGUCUGAUCUCGGAAGCUAAGCAGGGUCGGGCCUGGUUAGUACUUGGAUGGGAGACCGCCUGGGAAUACCAGGUUCUGUA